GUAAAAAUGAGGUAAGAAAAUCGCUAUCUUUAUUAUCUUUCCAAAAUAGUAAAGUAUAACAUUACCAUAGUUUACAAAUGGGUAAAGGACGUGUAACCAGCAGAAGAUAAAUACCUGUGUGUGUAUUCUUGUAUUGCUUUAUCACAGAUGCUCAAGUUAGAUGCUCAUCUGAUGUUGUUGUGUUACUGAGUCAUCAAGGAUCCAGCUUAUUCUUGUCACAUUGGACAGUACAGAAAGCGCACCAGUGGGAGAGAGUGGAGGGGAUGGCGUCAGAAAGGACCUAGAGCUGGGACACUUUCAAGGAUCACCCGAAGCACAACCACACCAUAUGCACGAGGCUGUUGGUUCUAACAUUUUAGGGUCCCCUUCGGUAGAAAUCACAUUCCGUGUUCCCCGCGGUAAAAAAAAAAGAAGCAGUCUGGGGGGGUUCCCCUCAUUAAAAAUCGCUUUCCCCCCCUCGGGGAACCCCCUCUAAUGCUGGGCCCUUGGAAUCGUCCUAACUUUCCCUCCCCUUACAGCACUCCUGGUUGCAGGCUCCAUUCCUAAACUGUUUCAACCUGUUAAACACAUUUUCACUGCACAAAUGUACAAAUCUCUUGUAAUGAGACGCAUUAGUAAAACAUGUUUUUUUUUUUUUUUUACAGAAACUAUAGUUUUCCACCAAAAUAAAAGAUCAAC